rnacentral:lncRNA from 1 species
GUGAUUGGUUUAAUAUGACAAAAUCGUGAUCCCUGUGCAAGAAGCAAGCAGGUUAGUAAUAUCAAAAGUAACAAUUGUGUGCCUACUUACUUCAACAAGAUUUCAAUUCUUGUAACCAUAAAAUAUUACUAACUUUGGUGUGAUAAAUGAUACAAAAAGUCAAACUCUAGUAGCAAAACCUCUGAAAAUGAAAAUUAAUCUUUCUCCUUUAAUUAUUUACAAACAUGCAGAUGGAAUUCAUUCUCACAGCAUUAUUGUGGCAGGGUGAAGACAUCCUCAAUAUCAUCAACGCUAUCAAUUGGAUGCAAAUUAGACAGUAAGAAAGUCACAAAACAAGGUGAAUAAUUAAUCUAGAAACUACCAAGUUCUCUCUCUGUUUCAGUUUGUUUGUAUUAGUUUGACU